rnacentral:tRNA from 2 species
UGCUGAAAAGAUAGAGCACCAGACUACGAAUCUGGGGGUCGGGGGUUCGAAUCCUCCCCGGUGCGCCA